rnacentral:rRNA from 1 species
GAGCGGCGAACGGGUGAGUAACACGUGAGUAACCUGCCCCUGACUCUGGGAUAAGCCCGGGAAACUGGGUCUAAUACCGGAUACGACACCUCCUCGCAUGGGGUGGGUGUGGAAAGUUUUUCGGUUGGGGAUGGACUCGCGGCCUAUCAGCUUGUUGGUGGGGUAACGGCCUACCAAGGCGACGACGGGUAGCCGGCCUGAGAGGGCGACCGGCCACACUGGGACUGAGACACGGCCCAGACUCCUACGGGAGGCAGCAGUGGGGAAUAUUGCGCAAUGGGCGAAAGCCUGACGCAGCGACGCCGCGUGGGGGAUGACGGCCUUCGGGUUGUAAACCUCUUUCAGCAGGGACGAAGUUGACGUGUACCUGCAGAAGAAGCGCCGGCUAACUACGUGCCAGCAGCCGCGGUAAUACGUAGGGCGCAAGCGUUGUCCGGAAUUAUUGGGCGUAAAGAGCUCGUAGGUGGCUUGUCACGUCGGGUGUGAAAGCUUGGGGCUUAACUCCAGGUCUGCAUUCGAUACGGGCUGGCUAGAGGUAGGUAGGGGAGAACGGAUUNCU